GACGAACGCUGGCGGCGUGCUUAACACAUGCAAGUCGAACGGAAAGGCCCUGCUUUUGUGGGGUGCUCGAGUGGCGAACGGGUGAGUAACACGUGAGUAACCUGCCCUUGACUUUGGGAUAACUUCAGGAAACUGGGGCUAAUACCGGAUAGGAGCUCCUGCUGCAUGGUGGGGGUUGGAAAGUUUCGGCGGUUGGGGAUGGACUCGCGGCUUAUCAGCUUGUUGGUGGGGUAGUGGCUUACCAAGGCUUUGACGGGUAGCCGGCCUGAGAGGGUGACCGGCCACAUUGGGACUGAGAUACGGCCCAGACUCCUACGGGAGGCAGCAGUGGGGAAUAUUGCACAAUGGGCGGAAGCCUGAUGCAGCAACGCCGCGUGCGGGAUGACGGCCUUCGGGUUGUAAACCGCUUUCGCCUGUGACGAAGCGUGAGUGACGGUAAUGGGUAAAGAAGCACCGGCUAACUACGUGCCAGCAGCCGCGGUGAUACGUAGGGUGCGAGCGUUGUCCGGAUUUAUUGGGCGUAAAGGGCUCGUAGGUGGUUGAUCGCGUCGGAAGUGUAAUCUUGGGGCUUAACCCUGAGCGUGCUUUCGAUACGGGUUGACUUGAGGAAGGUAGGGGAGAAUGGAAUUCGUGGUGGAGCGGUGGAAUGCGCAGAUAUCAGGAGGAACACCAGUGGCGAAGGCGGUUCUCUGGGCCUUUCCUGACGCUGAGGAGCGAAAGCGUGGGGAGCGAACAGGCUUAGAUACCCUGGUAGUCCACGCUGUAAACGGUGGGUACUAGGUGUGGGGUCCAUUCCACGGGUUCCGUGCCGUAGCUAACGCUUUAAGUACCCCGCCUGGGGAGUACGGCCGCAAGGCUAAAACUCAAAGGAAUUGACGGGGCCCCGCACAAGCGGCGGAGCAUGCGGAUUAAUUCGAUGCAACGCGUAGAACCUUACCUGGGUUUGACAUGAAUCGGGAGCGCUCAGAGAUGGGUGUGCCUCUUUUGGGGUCGGUUCACAGGUGGUGCAUGGCUGUCGUCAGCUCGUGCCGUGAGAUGUUGGGUUAAGUCCCGCAACGAGCGCAACCCUUGUUCACUGUUGCCAGCACGUUAUGGUGGGGACUCAGUGGAGACCGCCGGGGUCAACUCGGAGGAAGGUGGGGAUGACGUCAAGUCAUCAUGCCCCUUAUGUCCAGGGCUUCACGCAUGCUACAAUGGCUGGUACAGAGAGUGGCGAGCCUGUGAGGGUGAGCGAAUCUCGGAAAGCCGGUCUCAGUUCGGAUUGGGGUCUGCAACUCGACCUCAUGAAGUCGGAGUCGCUAGUAAUCGCAGAUCAGCAACGCUGCGGUGAAUACGUUCCCGGGGCU
rnacentral:rRNA from 1 species